CAUGCUUUCACCUAAGAAGACUGUGAGCGAUCUGAAUGCAACACUCGGAGCACUCAAAUGUGAGCAGAAAUACAGUUUUUCAUGUAAACUAAGUGAAGAAGGUAGAGGAGCUGAUAACAACACUCCUUGCUUUACUUCAAAGCUGGUAGCCCCACCCUGCCACAUGAACCUCUGGAG